rnacentral:rRNA from 1 species
GACGAACCGUCCUAACGUUAUUCGGAAUCACUGGGCUUAAAGGGCGCGUAGGCGGUCGAGCAAGUCCGGUGUGAAAUCCUUCGGCUUAACCGGAGAAGUGCUUUGGAUACUGCUCGUCUUGAGGGAGGUAGGGGCAUGUGGAACUUCUGGUGGAGCGGUGAAAUGCGUUGAUAUCAGAAGGAACGCCGGUGGCGAAAGCGACGUGCUGGCCCUCUUCUGACGCUGAGGCGCGAAAGCUAGGGGAGCAAACGGG